rnacentral:lncRNA from 1 species
UCUUCAAGUUCCACACCAUCUGGGAGUGUGCGUGGAGUUGGUUCUUUUAGUUGAAGGGAUAUUUAGAAACUGGAAGGCACUGUCAGUUCGAUUAGAGUAAACUGAUGACAGAUAGCUGGGGAUUAGGAAGUGCUCUCACUCCCACUUCACCCGAGGGUGAACAGGCGCAGCGCCGUCCUACAGCGUUGGAACAGCUGUUUUGAGGUAAUUUCAACAUAUCUUAUGCUUCGAACUCAACAAGCCAAACCCCCCAUAAAGCAGACAGCAAGCACGUUAGUCUCU